CAGAGAGAGAGAGAGAGAGAGAGAGAGAGAGAGAGAGAGAGAGUAUGUUUAGUAGGCAGGUGUUCAGGGGUAAAAGUGUGUGUGUGUGUGUGUGUGUGUAGGGUGAGAGGUCUAAAUGUGUCUGUUUUCACCAGGGCUUAAAACUGCAGCUCAUUACACACCCAUUAGCCCCCAAUCACACACACACACACACACACACACACACACACCUACACACACACACUAACUGUCCAGUGUUUCAGGUCUCUAUGUAGUGGAGGGGGACUAACUGUCCAGUGUUUCAGGUCUCUAUGUAGUGGAGGAGGACUAACUGUCCAGUGUUUCAGGUCUCUAUGUAGUGGAGGGGGACUAACUGUCCAGUGUUUCAGGUCUCUAUGUAGUGGAGGGGAGGAGGACUAACUGUCCAGUGUUUCAGGUCUCUAUGUAGUGGAGGGGAGGGGGACUAACUGUCCAGUUUUUCAGGUCUCUAUGUAGUGGAGGAGGACUAACUGUCCAGUGUUUCAGGUCUCUAGGGGAGGAGGACUAACUGUCCAGUGUUUCAGGUCUCUAUGUAGUGGAGGAGGACUAACUGUCCAGUGUUUCAGGUCUCUAUGUAGUGGAGGAGGACUAACUGUCCAGUGUUUCAGGUCUCUAUGUAGUGGAGGAGGACUAACUGUCCAGUGUUUCAGGUCUCUAUGUAGUGGAGGAGGACUAACUGUCCAGUGUUUCAGGUCUCUA